AUACGUAGGUGACAAGCGUUAUCCGGAUUUACUGGGUGUAAAGGGCGUGUAGGCGGUUUAGCAAGUCAGAAGUGAAAUUCCCGGGCUUAACUUGGGCGCUGCUUCUGAAACUGCUUUACUUGAGUGUUGGAGCGGAUAAUGGAAUUCCUAGUGGAGCGGUAAAAUGCGCAGAUAUUAGGAGGAACACCGGUGGCGAAGGCGGCUAUCUGGACAGUAACUGACGCUGAGGCGCGAAAGCACGGGGAGCAAACAGGAUUAGAUACCCUGGUAGUCCGUGCCGUAAACGAUGAAUACUAGGUGUAGGGGGUAUCGACUCCCUCUGUGCCGCAGUUAACACAUUAAGUAUUCCACCUGGGGAGUACGGCCGCAAGGUUGAAACUUAAAGGAAUUGACGGGG
rnacentral:rRNA from 1 species